AAUUUUGGGAACACAUGGAUGAUUUAAUAUAGGGUUUUGGCCACGACGAAUCGAUUAUCAUUGAAGGUGACUUGAACGAACAUGUUGGGAGAGAUCGUAGAGGAUAUGAAGUUGUCCAUGGCGGUUUUGGGAUUGGAGAGGAGAAUGAAG